rnacentral:rRNA from 1 species
GUAGGGGGCGAGCGUUGUCCGGAUUUAUUGGGCGUAAAGAGCUCGUAGGCGGCUUGGCAAGUCGGCCGUGAAAGUCCGAGGCUCAACCUCGGAACGCCGGUCGAAACUGCCAUGGCUAGGGUCCGGUAGAGGAGAGUGGAAUUCCCGGUGUAGCGGUGAAAUGCGCAGAUAUCGGGAGGAACACCAGUAGCGAAGGCGGCUCUCUGGGCCGGUACCGACGCUGAGGAGCGAAAGCGUGGGGAGCAAACAGGAUUAGAUACCCUGGUAGUCCACGCCGUAAACGUUGGGCACUAGGUGUGGCGAGUUAUACCCAACGCUUGCUGUGCCGUAGCUAACGCAUUAAGUGCCCCGCCUGGGGAGUACGGUCGCAAGGCUA